CUGAACCCAUCAAAGCUGAUUAGUAGUAGUUUGUUUUUGCCUGUGGUACAGUCAUCUCUGACUGGAGCAGAAAGAGUUGCAGGGAAUAUAAGCAGCAAAACACUCAGUGCCAGUAACAUGACAGGCUGUAUUGUGUGACGGUGAAGAUAAGCGUCCAACUAAGCAUUUGAACUUUAUCAAUCAGACAGUGCUUCAAAAGCUUGGGAAUCAUCUUCACCUGCUGGACCAACAGUUUGGACAUUCCUGCUGGUCUUUUCGGCAUGGAAUCCUGCAGUCUAGUUCUUUAAGCACCAGGUUAUCCCAAGAUGUAACCACCACAAAGACUAGCAAUAAAAAUCCAGCAGCAGCAGCAAGACCAUUGAACACAUUCUGAAGACUCGACUCGCGAACAUCUGUGCGUGUUAUCAGAUUUAGAAACAGGUGAAAAGCUUUCAUUUGGAUUUACCUCCAGAAUCACACGACUCUCCAUCAGAUAUCAACAUGUGUCGGGUGUUAUCCAGUGACCCGUCAUUGAUUUCUGGCUUUAUCCCCAGUAUUUACUGAUUCCUCACCCCGUUGAUGACAUAUCCUGGGUCUGCAUAGAGAACGAUGGGCAGGAUGCGUGGAUGUUUGGAGUAAUGCAGUCGAGCAGGCAUG